ACUGCUAAUACCGCAUAAGCGCACGGGAACGCAUGUUUCUGUGUGAAAAACUCCGGUGGUGUAAGAUGGGCCCGCGUUGGAUUAGGUGGUUGGUGAGGUAACGGCUCACCAAGCCGACGAUCCAUAGCCGACCUGAGAGGGUGACCGGCCACAUUGGGACUGAGACACGGCCCAAACUUCUACGGGAGGCAGCAGUGGGGAAUAUUGCACAAUGGGCGCAAGCCUGAUGCAGCGACGCCGCGUGAGCGAAGAAGUAUUUCGGUAUGUAAAGCUCUAUCAGCAGGGAAGAAAAUGACGGUACCUGACUAAGAAGCUCCGGCUAAAUACGUGCCAGCAGCCGCGGUAAUACGUAUGGAGCAAGCGUUAUCCGGAAUUACUGGGUGUAAAGGGAGCGUAGACGGAUGUGCAAGUCUGAUGUGAAAGGCGGGGGCUCAACCCCUGGACUGCAUUGGAAACUGUAAAUCUUGAGUGCCGGAGAGGUAAGCGGAAUUCCUAGUGUAGCGGUGAAAUGCGUAGAUAUUAGGAGGAACACCAGUGGCGAAGGCGGCUUACUGGACGGUAACUGACGUUGAGGCUCGAAAGCGUGGGGAGCAAACAGGAUUAGAUACCCUGGUAGUCCACGCGGUAAACGA
rnacentral:rRNA from 1 species